rnacentral:rRNA from 1 species
UGGGGAAUAUUGGACGAUGGGGGCAACCCUGAUCCAGCGAUGCCGCGUGGGUGAAGAAGGCCUUCGGGUUGUAAAGCCCUUUAGGUUGGGAAGAAGGAUGGCUGGUUAAUAGUCAGUCAUUUUGACGGUACCGACAGAAUAAGCACCGGCAAACUCUGUGCCAGCAGCCGCGGUAAUACAGAGGGUGCGAGCGUUAAUCGGAGUUACUGGGCGUAAAGGGCGCGUAGGCGGUGAUGUGAGUGUGAUGUGAAAGCCCUGGGCUUAACCUAGGAAGUGCAUUGCAAACGACAUGACUGGAGUAUAAGAGAGGGUGGCGGAAUUUCCGGUGUAGCGGUGAAAUGCGUAGAGAUCGGAAGGAACGUCAAUGGCGAAGGCAGCCACCUGGCUUAAUACUGACGCUGAGGCGCGAAAGCGUGGGGAGCGAACAGG